rnacentral:rRNA from 1 species
GACAGAGGUGCCAAGCGUUAGGCGGAAUCACUGGGCUUAAAGCGUGUGUAGGCGGAAUGGUAAGUACCUUGUGAAAUCCCACGGCUUAACCGUGGAACUGCUUGGUAUACUGGCGGUCUUGAGCCAGCUAGGGGCUACCGGAACAAAUGGUGGAGCGGUGAAAUGCGUAGAUAUCAUUUGGAACGCCAAUGGUGAAAACAGGUAGCUGGGGCUGUGCUGACGCUGAGACACGAAAGCCAGGGGAGCAAACGGG